AGAUUUUAAAACAAAAUUGGUGAACAAGUAUAUAUAUGGUCAGAACCCUUGUCAAACAUACGACUUCAUUGAACAAGAGACAUGGAAUGAGUUUUAUCAGUCGCAUACGGGUGAAUCAUAUGAGGCAACAAGGAAAAAAUAUCAAGACAUACAAGCUAAGAAUAUUCAUCCACAUCUUUUAGCUCGAGG